GCAGCGAGGAUUUCCCCUGGCCUUUACCUAGAGUGGUCUGAAGAGAUAUGGGCCAGUCUCAAAGACUGGGAUGGACUUAGGAGGCGUCCUUGUAUUCUAAGUAAUUCCAGGUACAUAAAGCAUGCACACACUUGGAAACAGGACAGCUCAGCUCUCUGGGCCGACUCUGGCAUGCUUGUCAUUCCUCUCACUAGUGGAUAAGGAUCGGGAUUCUGGUCCAGCCUCGUAAGUGAACAGGAUGGCUGCCCAUAAAACUGGGUUAUUAGAUUUACCUCAUUGAAGCUCAUUUUCUCAGAGGCCCAAAGUGCUGCACUGAGACAAAUCCAAGUGCUGCCCCUCCUGAAGUGUGCACUGAAGUCCAUCUGCUCACGCUCAGAGCGGUGCACAGGUGGGGACGCCAUGGACCAAAACCAGUGCCCCAAGGGAAGUCAGAAGAGCCAUAAUGCGAGAUCCUAGACAGGGUAUACCAAAGACAUCAAGCCUUCCUCAUCCUGAUGCUUCUCAGAUGAUGGGGUGAGCUGUGACAGACGCCAGAGGAAAGGGUUUUGCAAACAUUCCAUGUUCAAGGUAUUCGAUUGGUAAGUCCAUCCCUAACCUCCCCCAAGCCCCCAGAAAAAAAGCUCUCAGUUUGAAGCAGGCCAUGUUGUACAUCAGAAGAGAAGGUGGAGGGAGUGGCAGCAACCAGAGCAGACGGCAACAUUCUCUGAUGUCUAAGAAGGACUUUGAACCAGCCCACUCGCCAUGCCUGGCUGUUGCCCAGACCGCAUGGGAGCACCACAUCUGUAAUAUCGAAGCUUGGGUUUGUGGUGAUUUUUUUUUCUUAAAAAGAGGUGCUGUCAAGAGAUUUGUUUAAAGAACUCUUGGGAAUUUUCUUAGCCCACUAUACCAUUUAUGAACCUUCCCACAAAGGUGACUCUUAGCAUCACCAUCUAACGUGUAUAAGUACCCAGACUGUCCAAGGUGCUAUACAGCUGUUCCACCCCUACCCCCGCAGCCGUUUUAAAUUAGAGACUUCUGCAUCAGCUGCCACUGGACACUUUUUUUGCCCACGUAGAUGGGGUCUGCAUUCUGAGCAUCCUUCAUACAUUUCCCCUCAGGAGCCUCCACAUCUGUCCCUAUCCCUGCUUCUAAUCCCUCCCGUUCCAUGUUUUUUUUUAAAUCAAGAAAGUUUCAGGGAAUCAAAAGAGGUUGGGAUUUUUUUUAACCCAGCAGAAUCGCAGAGUUAUAUAUUUUGCUAUGAAUAUUGUUGUGGUACAGAAAAUCCACUUUGCCUGUUGGUUUGUGGCUAGUAUGUGUGUCUCCACUCUUGGUCAUUUGAAUGUUGAGCCCGCCCUAUAGCUUCAGUGUAAUGUUGUUGAAAGGUUAAACCACACAGUUUCAGGAAGCCUACUCAAGCUGUUCCUUCCUUAUUGCCCACCCCUUACCUGUUCUGGAGCGUGUGCAUAGACACACUGGGCUGGGUUUUCUGUUCAUGACACAGAGGGCAUUUUGUUGGGAGGUGAAGGCAGAAGCAAGAUGUCACCUGUCUCAAUGAAUUGAAUCAUGACAGUCCUUAUUCUAAUAUCUCUAGUUCUCCAUGGCACCGCCCACAUUCUGCUUUAGAAAAUCUUGUUUCUCUUCCUCCAGCGCUUUCCCAUCUCCUUUCAUAAUUUACAAUUGUGUAAAUCAAUAACAGGUCCCUGUGUCACCAGUGGCGCCUCCCUUUGGUUUGCUGUGGUACUUUGCUGUGUACUCUGUGGCCUCACGUUACUGUGUAAAUAAAUUCCGUUUAAUAUACACU
rnacentral:lncRNA from 1 species